rnacentral:lncRNA from 1 species
UCAAUGUGGAAAUUGUAUGUAAUACCCAUAUGAUUUUUGAAUUAAAACAAAAGUAUUUACAAUUAUUUUUGUAAGCGGAAUUUUAAAAAAUUUAGAAAGACCUCUUAAAAUAUAAGUUCUAAACAAGUUACAAUUACUUAAUAAAGCGGAAUGAAACAAAAUAUAGUUAAACUCAAUAUUCUAAUGGAUAUUAAAUAUUUUAGUCAUAAAAGAGACUAUAAUAUCUAUUAAUAUUAUACCAUACUAGCGGCCGGAAAGUGCUCGUCUAUCCGCUUUAUUUGUAACGCCCACAAUAAUCGUAUCUAGAAAAUUUAGCAUGUGCAUUAUCUUUAGUACUGGAUACAUUAAACUUUACAACAUGAAUACUUUGAAUGAGUAUCAUAUACAACAAUUACGCGUUCGUACAAUCAGUAAUACAACACUAUCUAUCCAAAGUAUAGUAAAACACUAUUGAAUCCAUAAGAACAUCCUGCAGCGGGUACGAACGACUCCUUAUGGAGUAUCCCUUCGGCUACAAGCUUGCCAAAUCAUGCUAAAUCAACCUGCUGAUCUGAAACAAAGAGGAUUUUGGGAUGAGACAUAAUGUCUCAGUGAGUUCUACCUAAUCGUAGGUUUUAGGUAACCUCUGGGGAAACCUAGGGCUACCACAUGUCUACAAUACAACCUGUCGGUUGAUUAUACGUGUGUGGGGCAUGCUUACCUAGACGGUUGUGCAUACUAGAUCAUACGUAGGGUUCUUCUUAACUUACCUUACAAGUCUUGACAUACAUUAUACGUGUCAUAGCGGUUAAGGGAACCUAAAACCGCUAUAUCAAGACCUAAACAUAACUUAUUCAUGACACGAUCCUAAACCGGACGAUCAAGGAUUCCUAAGAUUGUCAACGGUGUAACUUCAUAGUCUUAUCUUGGUACGUAAGCUUAUACAUGUCUCAUAACACAUCAAAAUUGUAAUCAUAUCAUAAUCAUGUUCAUUCAUUAUGUUAGAGGUUAGCGUUGAACAAACAUAGUUAUCUUGGUUCGUUUUACAGAGUGCAUCGGGUGGAGUAACCCCGAGUACAAUCCCUUACAUGACCGAUGAAAACCUAGGUAAGGUACAUCAGACUCCCUCAGUGUCGUGCGGGUCUACCUUGCGGAGCGUGUCCUGUUCCCCUGGCGUGAACCUCUUGUAUCCCCCUGGCGUGGAUAGAAAGAGACACGACACCUACAUCUUGCUUAAAGUCUUAAACAUACAUAAACGUCUUAUAAUUGCUUCCUUGUUUACCACGGGUCCGCAACCUACCCGAUUAGCGGUAAAAUGCUUACUUGCUUAUUCUUGUUCAUGGCAAAGAGCCUAUACUUAUCAAUUCAUGUCUUGACAUACUUAGGGAUUCAUGCUAACAUUCUAGUUAUCGACGGUCUACGUCGAGGCUCUAUGUUUUCCCCAAUUCUUAGUUUAUUGCUACCCGAUCAUGUUCGUAUAAAAACUCUCAUAAGCCAUCCUCAUUGCAUAUGUUAAGAUUAGCCAUUAUUUUCAUAUUGAAAAAUUGUUCGAUGUAUAUUGUGAUAGUUAAAUGAUGUUUGGGGGUCUUACGAUUGAUAAACGUUGCGAGAAAAGCCCUCGGAUUGCACCACGGGCCCCAAUACAAGCCAAUACGCCAUUCAAAAGUGCAAGUUGGCAGAGCCAACUCGCCAAUGGCGAAUGGUUUCUGGGAAAACUCGCGAUAAGCGAAUUAUUUCACUUAUGGCGAGUUUCUUCGGGCUUGUGAUGCAAAAUCUGAGUUUUUGACCCCAAACUCACCAAUUUCGAUCCUGCAAAGUUCAAUAUAUAUCCAGCAAUUCAUAUAAUAGUAGAAUUUAACUUGCAUGUAAAUUUUAAUAUGAAUACAACAGUAACUAGGAAAAAGGGGAACUAGGGUCCUUUUUAUCAUACUUAACAUAAAACAUAUUUCUCACAAGAAUCUACACAACCAAAGGUGGGUAAAUUAUCUAUAGAACUCACCUAACAAGUUCUUGCAAUUCUUCAUGCUCCAAACUUCUUAACCUCAAACCCUAGCUCUUGACCGUGGCCUCAAGAAUAACCCCAAAGCUUACAUCCAAUCUUCUAGUUGUUCCUUGCUUAUAAAGUUACCUUAAUCCAUGCUUGAUUGUCAAUUAUAUAUUCUUGGAAUGAUUAAUGGACAAUAGAGGGAGAUUGGGGCGACAUUCUUAGAGAGAAGGGAGAGAGAAUUCUAGUCUUGUAAUCUUAGAGAGAGAAACAACAUGGAACAAUGAAGAUUUUGGGACCAAACACCCUUCUUGGUGCAAAUACUAAAAUGCCCUUCAUCUUAAUCGUGGUUACACUAACACUAAUGAUUAACCCGUGCUUAACUGACACUGCAUCAUAGUAUCUUCCGUCUUGCCAUAACCUUCCUGGACACUCUCCCUCUGAUACAUCGAUCGGUAAUAUUCCAAUAAUUGACGAGUGGUAUAUUACACUAUUUACCGUGGUAACGUGUGUGUAUAUUUUAUUAUGUUUGUUUGUAUAAUUUUGAUUACAAUUUUUUAAUUUUUAAAUAUUUUAUUAUAUUUGUUUGUACAAAUGUUUAAUCCCUUUAUAUAUAACAAAAAAAUUCUUGUGUUAUCAGCUUUAAUUAAAUUAGCACUUAGGAGUUGCAAGAAGGCACUAAUAUUAUUGGAAAUUAAUACUAAUAUGUCUAAUCAAUAAUUCAAGUUUAUCUCUUUACAUCUCUCAAUUGAUUACUUAACCUUAGAGAAUAUGGCGAUUAAAAAUCUUUGACAGUAAUAAAACUUCAUUAUAGUUUUUUUUUUUGAGUCUAUCCUAAAAGAUAAAAUCCUAAAAGAAAAUCAAAUGACGAAUGAUGAAAACAACUAAUUUUAUAUAUAACACAUUGAUGAUGUAACAAAAAAUUUGUUAUAAAAGUAUCAUUGGGUAUUUGUUUUUGUUGAGAAAAUUUUAGAUUGCAGUUAUAACAUGUCAAUAUGGAAAUUGUAUGUAAUACCCAUAUGAUUUUUGAAUUAAAACAAAAGUAUUUACAAUUAUAUUUGUAAGCAGAAUUUUAAAAUUUUUAGAAAGAGCUCUUAAAAGAUAAGUUCUAAACAAGUUACAAUUAUUUAGUACAGCGGAAUGAAACAAAAUUUAGUUAAACUCAAUAUUCUGAUGGAUAUUAAAUAUUUUAGUCAUAAAAGAGACUAUAAUAUCUAUUAAUAUUAUACCAUACUAGCGGAAAGUGCCCGUCUAUCCGCUUUAUUUAC